GGCUAGCAGUGGAGUCUCAAAUAGGACGAAACGCGCGUUCUGGAU
rnacentral:hammerhead_ribozyme from 1 species